rnacentral:lncRNA from 1 species
GAGAGAAGAUUGGGGUCCAUGUCGUCUUUGACCAGGUUUUUGGGUCCACUGCAAUGACUCAAAGCUGAAUGUAUGCAGUGUCGAGGAAGUGUGCAAAACCCAGGCCUACAUCCUUUUUUACACUCAAAGAACAGUGCAGGGCAAUGCAAGAAUCUCAGAAACCCAUCUCCAAGCUCAGGUGCAGUCCAGCAACAAUGAUGAAGGCAGACCACAGACAUUUUCCUGAAUGGGAGGCAUGUAUCAAAGACUGGCUUUUGUGUAUUGGUGUCCAUACAUCUUUCCUCUUAUAGGAAAUAAGGCUACUGCAGGAACAGAUUACUAGGUUUGCCUUGCUGGGUCUAGAGUAGAAGGUGCCAGGUGAUUCGUGUCCUGUCAUAAAUUUUGUAGUCUCUUUCUUUUGAAUGAGUUUGGGAGUUCCCUCCUUUCCUAAAAACAAAAGAAGUAACUUCUAUGAAGAUCCUUUCAUCAGUUGCUUCUGAAUAUAGAGGGAUCUGGGUGGAGGAAAGCGGGGCGGGGGGGUAAAUCAAUCAUAUCCACACAGGAGAGCAGCCAUGUUUUCUCUCCAUGAUGUGAUUCCCCUGCUAAUCAGGACCUCCUUGCAGCACCAGAAGAACCCUCCGGAUGUGAGCAGCCCUGGACAGAGCACGUGAGGAGGGGCCCUGGGCUAGCAGUUUGCUGGAUGGGAUUGGCUCCAAGAUGGGAGAUGAAGUCUAAAGGGUUUAUUCCCACAAAGGAAGUAACCUUCAAGGGUUUAAAACAAACUUCCUUUUUUGGGGAUAGCAGCUGAAGAGUGGAGUGAGAUGCAUGGAACAAAUUUCCCCAUGCAAAGUGGGAUGGUUUUCAUAUGUCAUACCCUCCCUACUUGCUGCUGUCAUUUAAUCAUUCCAUACUUCUGAGACUGGCAUGAAUACCCCUUCAUUCUAAAGAAGGGGCAGGUCAUAUAAAGAAGCAAUAGACUAGCACAUGUUCCAUGCUGAGCCAAAGGACACUCCUGGCUAUCCCAGUUCUGUAGCAGAUCCCUGGUUCAGGUCUAGGGCAAGCACAUGGUUUGGUUUAAAUUGAUUCUUAGGUUUUCUCAGAACUCCGUUGAGGGUGGGCAGAGAUAGCUGAUGCUCCAGGGCUUAUUGAAUGCCUGUCACCCGUUCUCACUUCAGUGCAGCAUGCAGCUUCUUAGCCUGCAGCUUCUUUCUUGCUCCUGGAGAGCUAGAACAUUCAUGUUCACAGGGUUUGGGAGCUUUUGGUUCUCUAGGGUAUGUUAACUGCUUAGGAGUCCACCUCGUACAUAUCUGAAGAGUUGAUUACCAAUGGCCUUGACCUGUUUCCUCCCAAAUCUGAUAAUCCCUACUGUUGCUUUACCCCCCAUACUCAGUCCAUCAGAGAAAAAAACAAGAGUGCCCCGUCCUUUCCCCCAGUGCUAGUAAAAUACAUCUUCCUUUUUAAAUUGGGUCAGUUUCUAAACAGAAUGAAAUUGCCCAGAUAAAAACCCUUGUCCCCAUCAGGCACCACUUCAUUCUUAGUUCUUCACUUAGAUUUGCUGGUGAAAGUGAAUGCAAACCCUAACUUUUGUUGCUGUGGUCACUGCAGUGAGCCUCACUCAACCUGUCACUAUGAAUGCUCAUCUUUUGACUGAGUAUAUCAUAUUAAUGUUUGAAUUCAGGUAGAAGUACAGUUGUCACUUGAAGGGAGUAGAUGUGGAAGGGCGUUCGGGGAGGAGUGGGAAGUGGGGAAAGCCAGGCUAAAGAAUGAGGGUUAUAGCUUUAGCAAUGUUGAUGAGCCACAUUUCCCACACAGAUCUGUAGCAUUUGCUGUUGACCUCUUUUGAGAUGAACUCUCCCAUAGGCCCUGCCAGGCAGCACUGAGACAUGGAGGAAAUUCAGACAAAAAAUGGCUCACCCUGAGAGGGAAGGAGUGACUAUAUUUUAAAUUAAACUUGCUUUUUCCAACACUGUGAGGUUUCUGUAAUAUUUAGCUUUUAUUUGGAAGCGAUAGCGUAUGGCAUUUUUUAUGCUGUUUGGUUUAUAUUGUCUACUGCAGGCUUCUUUGUAUAAGCUUUGCCUGGGCUCACCCUCUCCUGGACACUGUUUUAAAGUGUCACCGCUGUCCAUGCUGCCAGAGGCUCUGAUGUGAAGCUGUACUCUCAAGAUCCACGUUUUUAAGUCGGCAUGAUUAGUAAUGACUUUUUGUGGCAAUAGAAAAGCCCAUUAACUCAAAAAAAACAAGGAGGGUAAAAAGGAAAGGAAACUAUGAAUCGUGCCUCAUCUUUCAUUGAAUCCUAUAUUUAUUAUUCUAGAAAAAGAGAACUUACAAGAUAGAGAAGAACUAAUAGAGCAUCUACUUUACCC